AAAUAAUGAACAGCUCUACAAUAUAUUCAGAAAUCACAUGAGAAGAAUAAGAGACCUAAUCAAAAAUUUGAAAAAUGCAGUACUUAAGAGUAAUUACAGUGAGGCCUACUUCACGGUUCUUUGAGAACUUGUACACCAACCAUCCCACCUUUCCCAAAAAAAACAAAAACAACAAACAAAAACAAAACCUUUGUAAAUACGCAAAAGUUUGAAAGCAGAAGCCUAAUAUUAAACUUUUUUGAAAUAUA